rnacentral:lncRNA from 1 species
UGUCUGUCUGUAUCACAGUAAUGCCAAGCUGACAGAACUAAAACAAAUUAUAAAAAUGAUUAACUACAAAUGACAAUGAUACUACAUCUACUCUAUAAAAGAUUCUUCUCCUUAGUUCAUAAAAAUAAUAGCCAUGUGAAGUUUGUCUACUGUAAGCCGGAAAAUUUUCAUGAGGAUUUUCUUUCCUUAAUUUUCAAUUAAGCAAAAAUCAGACAAAACAAUUCCUGACAUAGAAAUGAUCAAAAAUAUUUAAGGUUAACAAAUGAAUGAAAAGUGCUAUAACUAGAAAAAAA